rnacentral:lncRNA from 1 species
CUGUCCUUGCAUCCCAGCUCCUGCUCAGCUGGACUUAACUCCAUCAACUUUCUGGAACUCUGCGUAUUCCUGUCACUAGAUUCCCUGUUGAUCCCAUUUGCUCUACUGGAAUGUCUCUGAGGUUGUGCCAACCUCCUGCCUGGCCUACACACACUCAUCUCUAAACCAGACACUCGAGAGAAGAGGACAGAUCCUAGAGAAUGUUUUCAUUCUCCAGCUCCUCUCUUCAUCUGCAUACUCAAUCCUUGCAGAAAGCAAAUCUUCGUCACCAAGACUUCUUAAUCUUUUCCACUAAAAUUCUUGUAAUGGCAGAGGAAACUGAGCUUAUUCUCUAGGAGGUUGGAAGAUUCUUCCUUUGACUACAUAAGCAACAGCUGUCUAGCUGCCUGCACAAGACUGGAUCUAAUGCCUCUACAGAAAUCUAGGUCAAAACACUUGGAAUGCAUGAAUAUCAAACAGAGUUUUCAAAACAGCAAAUGAAUACAUCUUUAACUGGUGACAUUUUCCUGUAGCAUAUGGUUGCAAGCUCA